AGUGAACGCUGGCGGUAGGCCUAACACAUGCAAGUCGAACGGCAGCACAGUAAGAGCUUGCUCUUACGGGUGGCGAGUGGCGGACGGGUGAGGCAUACAUCGGACUCUACUUUUUCGUGGGGGAUAACGUAGGGAAACUUACGCUAAUACCGCAUACGACCUACGGGUGAAAGCAGGGGAUCUUCGGACCUUGCGCGAUUGAAUGAGCCGAUGUCGGAUUAGCUAGUUGGCGGGGUAAAGGCCCACGAAGGCGACGAUCCGUAGCUGGUCUGAGAGGAUGAUAAGCCACACUGGAACUGAGACACGGUACAGACUCCUGAGGGAGGGAGCAGUGGGGAAUAUUGGACAAUGGGCUGGAGCCUGAUCCAGCCAUACCGCGUGGGAGGAGAAGGCCCUCGGGUUGUGAAGUGCUUUUGUUGGGAAAGAAAAGCAGCAGGUUAAUACGCCGCUUGUCUGACGGUACCCAAAGAAUAAGCAACGGCUAACUUCGUG
rnacentral:rRNA from 1 species